GUUCUAAUUUCAUGGUUUUUAUAGUUUGAAAUGCAACCAAUAAUUAAAAACUGGCAACAAAUUAGAAACAGCAAGAAUAUUAUUGUGAAACUGAAAUAUAUUUCAGGCUGGACAGCAUCACAUCAGAGUUUAUCUCAGUUUUAUUGAAUAUUUAUGCAUGCCAUCUUUUUUUCUAGGUUUAUGACACAGCUGAACUACCUAAUGCACGUUAAUUGUGCCUAGGUAAAAACAAAUAUUUCAUCGAGCAUCUUAACAUAUUAUAAAGGAUUAUAUUUUUCCCUCAUGUAAUGUCAACAAUUAUCAGGGCAACAUGUAGAAAUAAGUUAAACUAGAUAAGAAAAUGUGGUAUAUGAAAUUAUUUUUAGGGACGGAUAUGUGUUUGAUUUGUAUAUUUUUUUACCUGCUUAUUUUUCAGCAAGACUUUAUAUUUCAGAAAACAUCCAAAGAUAAUAAAGUUUCCAUGUGAAUUGUUGCAUUAUAAAUUGCAGCACUCAUUGAAAAUGGAAGUAGCAUAUAGUGAGAAUCCAAAUAUGAACAUUAACCUAUCUAUAGCCAACAUUUACUUACUGCACUAAUAUUGUGCUGGAUGCAGUGGAAUCUAAAGAAGUAAAUUGCUGUGCAAAGAGUGUGUCUUUAAAACUGAUGAAAAUGUGCCCAGAAGCAGGACACUAGACCUUUUAAUUUUCUCCAUGAUGACUAUUAACCAUUCACAUGAGUUAUUGUCUGUCAAUUACAUUCCAACAGUAGCUUAUGCUUUAUUUCAUAGUUCUGACUGGUGUUUAUAUCACAUUUGUUCAUGAACUUUGAAUCUACUUUUCAUCACUAUCUGCAUCAGCUAAAUUAAUGCAGUAGAAAUGAAGAAUCAGUUUACAUCAGCCUACACUUCUGAGCAGUGCAGGAGGACUAUGACAUCCACACACUUCAAAGGUGGAAAACAGAGGGACAAGUGUUCAUUUACUUGUCAGGAGAUGUCUGAAGCCUACUUCAGAAUGCAAGAUUUGAGUAACAUAAUCAAAAGAAAAUUUAUCAUCUUACUCAAUUGGAAAAUACUCAGAAGAAAACAGGACUUAUUCAAAAGGUAAGUAUUCAAUAGGAAGAAUUAACCUAGAUGUUUGACUCAAAGUUGAAUCUAUGUACUAUAUAAAUAUGUAAGACGUCUCUUUUGCUUAAAUACUACUUUCAUACUGAAACAUGCUAUUUUUUUUUCUCAAAAACUUUCGUAAUAGAAUAAAAUGAGAGAAACCCCAGGUUUUUAUGGAGUG
rnacentral:lncRNA from 13 species